UCCCCACCCGCAGCCCAAACCCUAGCUCAGAUCCCCCAUCGCACCCCUCCUCCCUCGUCCCCAUCUCCUCGCCGCCGCUGCCACAUCCUCCCCGUCCCCUGCACCACUCCUCGUCGCCAACCUCGCCGCCGCCACCUCCUCCCCGUCCCUUGCACCACUCCCUGAUCCCUCCUCCGGCACCAUCCCCGGCCAUCCCCACUUCCACCACCCCUCCGUCCCAGUCGCUGCUCUCUCUCGGUUAAGUGAGAUGGGAUCCACUCCCGCAGCCGCCGCUCCACCCUCACCGUCGACGACCCAUGCCGCCGCCGCACACCACCGGGCCCUCCCAUCACCCUGGCCCCAUGUUGGGUAGUGCGAGGCGGUGCUUCCAGACCACGAUGGCCGCAGCCUUGCCCACUCCAAUCUGGAUCCAUGGUGCACUCCUUCCUCCCUCUGGAUCCAGCGCCUGCUGGUGACGAGGGCCGCCAGAUCCGCGACCUGGGAGGCUCCUCCUGUAGGAUACGGGAGCAGCACGCCGCACCCUGCAGUCGCUGACCUGGUGCACUCCUUCUAAUCUCCAUAGCCACUUUUUUGCCUCGGCUGCUUGCUCUGCUCUCUGCGUGAUGGAGCUAGGCCUCACGCUCCAGCUAGCCGCGCCGCCGGCGCGCCUCCCCCACGGGUAUAUUGCAUCGCCGUGCCCGCCAGUAAUGAGCGGAGUCCGGGCGGGGAGGCGCGAGAGUAGGAGGGCUGGGGCUGUGUCGACGAGUGGGGGUGUGAGCUACGCGGUGGUUGAAGAUGGGAAGGUGAACGAGGGGGAGGAGAUGUCGAGGCCGCGGCUGGAGUUCAUCGAGAAGUUAGAUCGGUACCUGGCGCUGCUGGACGAGUACGAGUCGGAGGAGCUGGGGGCGGCGCUCUGCGCCAACCACCGCAGUGUUAUGUUGCUGUGUUGGGGAAGCCAAAUGUCGGCAAGAGCACCCUGAUAAACCAAAUCGUUGGUCAGUAGCUUUCGAUCGUAACCGAUAAACCACAAACCACACGCCACCACAUCCUCGGUAUAUGUUCUGAACCAGAAUACCAGGUACAACCUUCUUGUCUCCAAAGCACCAGGUUGAUCUUGAUUGCUAGCAUGGGAGAUGUAUCUUCUUUUGCAUAUCAAUUACAUAGCAGUACUAUGUAACAAUCUAUGUACUGUUAUUUUUAGGUUAGGUUGAAGUGAUUGGUAGGCCUUCGUUAGCAAGCGAGCUUUAAAUUUCCAUUGUUAUUUGCACUAUAUUCCACGCACGCCUCAUUUGAAUUUGUGAUCGUAUCCAUAGACCAGUGAAUUUAUUGCACUAUUUGCUUGCUGUGAAGUAUCCAGUAUUUGUUACAUUAUGUCUUUAAGUAGUAAAAUUGAGAACGGCAAGCUAAAUUCUUCAACUGAACUGCUCUUUCAUUGUACCACGAAAUCGGAAAUACUGAAGUUUUGCUAUGUAUAACAUUGGUGCAUGUGCAGGCCCGGCUUGUGGGGAUGGUCAGUGGCAAGGCAGAGCGGAACACGGACGUGUCCUUCGCGCUCGACGACGGCACCGGCCGUAUCGACAUCAUCAGAUGGCUGACAUGGAAAAAGUUAUGGAACAAGAGGUACCAGAAGGUGGAGAACCAAAGAAUGUUGCUGCUGUUGUUGCUGACAUUCUCACUAAAGAAUGUCCCUCCAGCACAUUCCUUCAAAAUGUUGGCCUUGAGUCGAGCUCCAAGAUGAAGUUCAAUAGAUCUGCAGUUACUUUGGAUGCUCAUGUACAAGAACUAGAGUAAAAGCUUGAGAAGGAGAGGCGAGCCGCUGAGUUGAUGCAAGAGGAGCUUGUUGAGGUCAAGAAGAAAUCAGAGGAGACCGAAGCUGUACGCGCCGCAGAGUAUCAGUUGUUACUGCAAAGAGUUGAGGCCACCGAUGCUAGGGCUGCAGCAAGUGAUUCUAGAUUUGCGCGUCUCAUGGAUCUGUUCGAAGGUAAAUUAGUUACUACAACGUGGUCGAUGUUGGCUUUGGGACUUUUGAUGCUGAGUUGUUUGGACCUGGGGUUGAUGAGUUUCUUUGGGUGUGUUACUGGCUAUGUUAUUUUGGUUGGUGCAUCUUAUGAACUUGUGGUGUAAUGAUACUGCUGGGCCUAAGUUAAUGAAAUCUUGGAGAAUUGUAUUAUUAUUAUCA